UUUAUUUGUAUAAAUGAGUUACUUAGUAACAGGGUGAGUGGUCACAGUACAGUAAUAUCGGCAUGUAUGUAAGACAAAGCCUAGCUUUUUAAAGUAAUAAUUUUAAACAUUUGAAGUCUUUCUGAAAGCAUAUGACUUAAAACUAGCAUAUAUUAAAAUUUUGUAAUGAAUAUUGUAAAUAAAGGUACAUUUAGCUACAAUUUCCCGUUUUCAUUAUGUAUGGUGACUUUUGGGACACCCUGUAACCAGAAAAGUAUUGUGGUAUGGAGAAAGAACCCUAACCCAGGAGUUAAGAGAUCUAGGUUUAUUGCCUUGUCCUAGCUUUCUUUGUCUACACUGAGUAAACAUGGGGUAACUUUUCUUUUUUAUAAAUGUGUAAGCAGGUAAAAGUAUAACAACUGGUCUGAACUCAUAUUCUAAGCUCAGAGAUACUUGAGAUGAUAACCCUGACUGUACUUUCUUUGAACACUACUUUCUAAGAAGUAAUGAGUUAAGAUAUAUAUGGAACAUUAACUGGUUCAUGAUAAACCAAGCAGAUUAUACUUGGUUAUCAGAAUUAUUUAUUGUGAAGCCCCUGUUUAAUGGUGUAGAUACGCUGAAAUUUAUGUGAUUAACAUGUAUUCCCAGAAGAGUUGUGGACAAGCAUGUUAUUUUGUCAUUUUCUGUGUGUGUGUGUGAGAGUUGCUGGAUCUAGUAGGACCAGGUUCAGGGUCAUAUUUGCAGGUCCCAACAGAGAUCAUUACAGAAUGAGGCGGCACAUAUCCCAAAGGGAACCUGGGUUAGGCAGCAGUCACGGCACAUAAUGUGGCUAGGCACACUCAUGGCAGCAGCCAUGACUGUCCAGCAGCAGGAAUGGCCCUUUGACAUUGAACCUCCAAUCCCAGUAUCUGAUUCUUCAGAAUGAAUAAGUGGGAAGCACUGACACAGUUUACCCUUUUGUUACUGUGGCAGGGGAUUGCUACAGCCAUGUGAGCCAUGAAUUCAAACAAGGGAGGGAGAGAAGGGAUAAAUUUGGGAUUGAAAGAGAAAGAGGAAGUGGUUGCUGAAAGGCAGUAGGGAUGACUUAUAUGCUGAUCCGGGUGAGGCUGUGUCAAUGCCAGAGAAGAAUUUCUUGUAGUUUUUUUCUUCCAUGUUGUGAGAUGAAUCAUGACCGGUGCUGGGAGAAACCAGCAGAAUUGUUUUCUCUUAAAAGUGAGACUUGGAUGGAAGCUUAUCUAUUAGCUUUGCCUGAAAAUUCUGCCUGGAUAAUCUGGGAGAAAGAUAAGAGGAAGUGCUCUCUAGUGACCCAACUAAGCAGUAGUUAUCAGAGCUCUCAUUUGGCUCUACCUUAUGUUUUGAUUUUUUUAUGGGAGAUCUGCAGGACUCACCACCAUAGCAUUCAAAAGGUAAUGAUAGUUCAUUCAUUGAGCCCUGUGCACUGCGUGACCAUGAACCCAGGUGACUGUUGGUCUUCUGGAUGUGAGGGGCAGCGUGUUGGUAUAGUUUGCCCCAUUGCCAGGGGCGCCCUGCUCUUUCAGAUAUACCAAAAUUAUGUGUGGAUGCAGCUCAGUAAAGAAACUGAAGUGGGUAAUAACAAAAGGAAUUGAUAAAAGAUUUUAUUGUAACCACAUAUCACCAGUGCCUUUCCUUGGAGUUCUCAAAGGCCCUGAGGUUACUGAGUCCUGUUAAUACAAAGAGACUGAGUUGUUUUGAAGAGUGGAGCAUACAUAGUUAACAGUUCCUGGAUGUAUAUGGUGGACUCAAACUGCACCAUGCUGCCGGAACACAGUAGCAACAGCAAGUAUGGUAACUCAGUGAACUCUGGUCCUGAGGAAUUUGCAAACCAUUGGUACCAGGCAUGGCUCCUCCAACCCUUUUGUUUUGAAAUACUAUUAUAGAAAAGUUGCAAAAAUAUUAGGCAGUUUCUGAGUAUAACCAUCGUCUAAUUUCCCCUAAUGUUGACAUCUUACAAAAUCAUGUUAUAAUUAUCAAAACCAAGAAAUUUACAUUUGGUACAGUACUGUAGAUUACAGACCUAAUUUGAAUUUCGUGGUUCUCCACUAAUGUCCUUUUGGUACUAGGAUCACAUCUAGAAUCCACAUUGCAUUUAUGUCUCCUUAAUCUCUUUAAGUCAUGUCAGCGGACACAUGAUGUCAUGUCUUAUUGUUAAUCAUGAUCACUUGGCUUAGUUUUAUCAGAUGGGUUUCUCCACUAUGAAGUCAGGAUUUUUCCCUCUGUAAUUAAAAAAUAUCUUGGGGGAGCUACUUUGAGACUAUGUAACUAUGUUGUUUCUCCUCUGACUUCUGCCUAUUGAUUUUAGCAUCUAUUGAUGGAUUUUGCCUGGAGUAAGAGGUCUUUUUGAACCAAGCAGAAAGCAUUCCCGGAAGGAUGACAUCACGAUAAAAGUAUAACCUGUCCCCAUAUAGGGAUUUAAAGUGUAUUUCCCAUAGACUGAGGUAGGCCAGCUAACAUGGAAGGAUGAUGAAGCAGUUCAUGUAUGGAACAUGGCAUUACUAAAUUGGUGGGAUACCAUGGCCAAGUACAACGUGAUGGUCAUAUGCCCUUAUCUGAGAAGGACUAUUGGCUAUGUUAGUAAUGAUCAUGGAGGCAAGAGUUCAGAGGACAAUGGCCAGGUAUUCAGAAAGCCCAGACCAAAGAAACGUUUAGGGAACGGGACUUUGUGUUUCCUUUGUGGUUUUCUUCCAUUCCAGCAGGAGUGCCAUGGGUUAAGAGUUAAUCUUUCUCAUGUUGUAAUGGUUAAGGAUCGGCAUGACUUGCACUUUUUCUUCCCAGUGAAAAGUAGGUGGGCUGUUCCAAAGUGACACUCAGAAAACAGUGUUGAUAGAAUUUCAUUCUGUUGUGGAUAGGGUAUGUUGAGAUCUCAGACUUAGCUGAACCCUGAAUUUCCUAAGUAGCAGCUUUAAAUAACUGCCUGUUAUUAGAUAUGUUUGGCAUAUGGGAAAGGGACAUUUUUAGUAGAAAGGAUGAAGGUUAUAGUUAGGGGUAGGAUACUGUAUUACCAAUAGAUGUUUGAUUUACAAAACAUUGAUAUAAUAUCUUACCUACUUUGCUACUACCAAAGGAUUUAUUGGUAGUUUGAAGAAAGGAAGGUGAAUAGGGCUUUUUCAUUGAAGACUCACAGGAUGAAAUAAUUUGCAAAACUUAUUUGGAAGUAUAAUAGAUGUAGUCUCCAGAGCAACGGAUCAUUCUGAAAAAGAAACAAAUUUACUUAGGAAAAUCAACAAUGCAAUGAAAUGUAUCUGUUGUUCUUUAUUAAAAAGUACAAGUAGUAACACAUAAAGGGGAGAAAUGUAAAACUAUUAAAUUUGCUAAGGAGUGUUAAGAAGGAAUGAGAUCAUGAUUGACAGCCUAGUUGAAGACAUCACCCUGGCUGUGACAAAUCCUAUUGGCCAGCUUUGGGAAAAGGUUUGGCAUUUUCUUAUAGAGUUAAACAUACACUUACCAUAUACCCAGCAAUUACCAAGAGAGAGGAAAACAUAUGCCAAUGUUUACAUAAGCAUUCAAGCACCUAAGUGUUGUUCACAAUAACGCAAAACUGUAAAACCCACUCACCUUUAUUUUCAUGGAAGUAAAAGAAUAAAAACCCAUCUCAAAGGAUGAAAAUGAACUUACUUAAAAAAAAAAAAAAAAAAAA